rnacentral:rRNA from 1 species
AGCGUAGGCGGACAUUUAAGUCAGGGGUGAAAUCCCGGGGCUCAACCUCGGAAUUGCCUUUGAUACUGGGUGUCUUGAGUAUGAGAGAGGUGUGUGGAACUCCGAGUGUAGAGGUGAAAUUCGUAGAUAUUCGGAAGAACACCAGUGGCGAAGGCGACACACUGGCUCAUUACUGACGCGUGGGGCUCGAAAGCGGUGGGGAGACAAACA